rnacentral:rRNA from 1 species
UACGUAGGGUGCGAGCGUUGUCCGGAAUUAUUGGGCGUAAAGGGCUCGUAGGCGGUUUGUCGCGUCGGGAGUGAAAACCAGGUGCUUAACACCUGGCUUGCUUUCGAUACGGGCAGACUAGAGGUAUGCAGGGGAGAACGGAAUUCCUGGUGUAGCGGUGAAAUGCGCAGAUAUUAGGAGGAACACCGGUGGCGAAGGCGGUUCUCUGGGCAUGACCUGACGCUGAGGAGCGAAAGUGUGGGGAGCGAACAGG